rnacentral:rRNA from 1 species
UAGGGAAUCUUCGGCAAUGGACGAAAGUCUGACCGAGCAACGCCGCGUGAGUGAAGAAGGUUUUCGGAUCGUAAAACUCUGUUGUUAGAGAAGAACAAGGACGUUAGUAACUGAACGUCCCCUGACGGUAUCUAACCAGAAAGCCACGGCUAACUACGUGCCAGCAGCCGCGGUAAUACGUAGGUGGCAAGCGUUGUCCGGAUUUAUUGGGCGUAAAGCGAGCGCAGGCGGUUUCUUAAGUCUGAUGUGAAAGCCCCCGGCUCAACCGGGGAGGGUAAUUGGAACCUGGGAGACUUGAGUGCAGAAGAGGAGAGUGGAAUUCCAUGUGUAGCGGUGAAAUGCGUAGAUAUAUGGAGGAACACCAGUGGCGAAGGCGGCUCUCUGGUCUGUAACUGCCGCUGAGGCUCGAAAGCGUGGGGAGCAAACAGG